rnacentral:lncRNA from 10 species
ACAGAAAUACGUUAUACAUCAUGCAUGUUAAUCAGACCUAUGCAAGAUAUUGUUUGCAAAGUAGUUUUGGGGAUACAGGGUGUUUACUUCACAGGGGCUGGGUUCAGGGGAAAGGGAAGCAAAGACCAUUAGAACGUCUUACGUUUUCAGUUCAAGGGAUGGCAGUGGAGUGGAGCAAACAGACAACACUGUUACUCACACUUUUUGUUUAAAAAGCUUUCAGGAGCUAUUAGUCUUUUGACUGCUAUUGUUUUUCUCUCCGGGUGCAAAAGGCAGCAUGAGGAAAUCCAUUCUGAAUCACUGUUCAGAGAGAGCACUAGGAGAAAGAUUGGAAAUGCUGAAGAGGAAGUUUCUGGGGUUUCAUCGCAUGGUGACACACACCUGUAGUCCCAGCUACUCAGGAGGCUGAAAUGGGAGGAUUGCCUGAUUCCAGGAGGUGGAGGUUACAAUGAGCCAUGAUCAUGCCACUACCACUAUGUGAUAGCGAAAUUUAUGGAAGUCAAUACCUCCUGUCCUUAUGCAGGACUCAGUCUUGUGCUAUGUGAGAAACUUGGCUUUGAAACAGCUUCUGCAUUUUUCUACUUCCAUAUAAUGUGAUGAUAACAUUUCCCUCCCAUGAUUAUGUGAGAAUUAAGUGUAAAAGCUGACACUUACUGCAUGAUGAUGCAUCACGAGUACUGCCUGAAGACCUUUAGUAUCCACAACAACUGACAUGUUGUGUUGAACACACUCAUACUUCAUUUGAUUGAAUGGACUUACAGCCUACCAAGUCACAAAAUGUUUCUAAUUAUCUAUGCAAAGUGAGGCUUUUCUUGUAAAAACUGUAAAAAUACAAAUAAAAAUACAGUAUAAUAUCUAUUGACAUAGCAUUUACAUUGUGUUAGGUUUUGUAUGUAAUACAUGACUUCAAGUAUAUAGGAGAAUGUCCCUGGGUUAUAUGCAAAUACUAUGCCACUUUAUUUCAGCAACUUGAGCAUCUGCGGGUCUUGUAUCUUUGAUGGUUUGGAAAGCAAUUCUCCACAGAUAUAGAAGGACAACUCUAAUUUCAUUAGGGCAUUAUUUUUGCAUUAUAUGAAAGAAGUCUAACUUUAUCUUUCUUUAAGUGUAAUGACAAUUUUUUCAACACUACUCAGUUUACUCUUAUUUGAGAUUUAAUAAAUGAUUGCUGUAUUAGUCUGGAUAGGUUAGGAUACACUAUGGCAAUAUAUUAACUGCAAAAUCUCAGUGGUUCCACAUGGCAAUGCUCUUUCUUCUUAUGCAUACCAAUGUCCUUUGAAGGUAGCAUGGGCUCAGCUCAGCACAGCUGCUUGGGAAGCCAGAGUAAUGAAGGUCCCACCAUCCUGAGGCUGCUCCAAAGGCAACGUGUGUUUUUCCUGGGCACAGCAUUACAACAUAGGUGAGGCUGAAGGAUCACCAGGUUCUCUGAAGCUCAGCCUGGGAAGGGCUAUCCUGGGUCCCUUCUGCUGACAUUGCUUUGGCCAAAGCUAGUAUGAGGGCCUUGCCUAAUGUAGUAAAGACAUAGAGAAUAGGAUGGAAUGCAAGUUUUUCUCCAAAUUCAAUCUAUUCUAUUUCUAAAGUUGGAGAGUGAGAAUUCGAUAGCAACUUCAGAUAGUGUGGAAAAAACUGUUCUCCAAAUCUCUUUGAUCCUGAGUUUUGAAUAGCAAGUAGGGAGAAUUCAUAUAACAUGGGGUAAUCCAAAAAUUGGUUAAAUCUAUUCAGUGUCUGAAUUUAGAAAGCAAGAAUUGGAAAAGCAAAGGAUACCUGUAUUUGGUGAGUGUUGCUUUUUCUGCCAGAGCUAUCUAUAAAAAUAAGU